UCUCUUACUGUAGUUUGAUCAUGGAGACUUUAAACUCGUUGAUUACGCUGUACUUUUUGUAUUGAAGGAUCCAACUCACAUUCAUAAAAGCCAAAUGAAGAUGAGAAGAGCUCUUCUCCUUCUCAAUAGUCAGAUGUCCUCAGCCAUCUUCUUCAACCAUAUUGAGUUUUAAAAAAGGUCCAUAAGAUUAAUUACUUAUAUUAGAUUUCUCAUCAGCUUUUCCUCACCAAAACUACCACAAAUCCCAAGCUUUCUUUCUCUCAUAUAGCAAUGAAAAUUCAAAGCUUUAUUUUGCUAACCAUUUCCUCGUUGCUGAUAUUUCUUGUUCUUGGGCAAGUGUUUAGUUUAUCUAGUGGCAGAGAAACCACGUAUAACAAUGCUGAGCAGAGAUCGAUGGAAAUGAAAUCAGCGCCGUCAGUAAGGUAUUUUUCGAGGACGAUAUCUCCUUCUCAACAUGAUGAAAAUGGUAAUGUAAGCCCAUCUUUUGCAAUGUAUGAUAGAUCUGUCCCUCAAGGUCCAAAUCCUCUACACAACUGACCAGGUAACCCUGUCUCUCUGUCUUCACCUGUAAUUAGAAAUGUGGCAAAGAAGCUUCGAGAUAGCAACAGUGAAAGGUUAAAAAUUGGCUUAUUCGCAUAUUUUCUGCUACAUUUGGAAUGCUUUCAUUCUAAUCAUAGCUCAAGCUACCAAUCACUCAAAAUUUACUGAAGUUAAGCAAAUGCUCUCAACUUAUAUCCAUUCAUAGCAAGCCUUACUUUUUAGCUUAGUUUUCCUCCAACUUCAUGUUUCACACCAAAUGCUCUUAUU